rnacentral:rRNA from 1 species
UACGUAGGGUCCGAGCGUUAAUCGGAAUUACUGGGCGUAAAGCGUGCGCAGGCGGUUUUGUAAGCCAGAUGUGAAAGCCCCGGGCUCAACCUGGGAAUUGCAUUCGAGACUGAAUAGCUAGGGUACGGUAGAGGGAAGUGGAAUUUCCGGUGUAGCGGUGAAAUGCGUAGAUAUCGGAAGGAACAUCAGUGGCGAAAGCGACUUCCAUGGA